AUGGAGCCUCCCGUACCUGGACAGGGAGCUGGUUCCAUAGCAGGGGGGCCUGGUAGCUAAAUGCCAAAGCUCUGCUACUGGAUGACAACACAGUCCAAAUAUUACAGCACAUGUGACUUUGGAUCCUCUGUUCAGGUCUACACGUUUCUAUAGACGUGCACUUUCAGUAUGAAGAGUAAAACAUCCUGGAUCAUUGACGUCGUCUCUGCUCAAGUCCUCCGUGGAUAAAAUCCAUCUUCCCCCAGUUAUUCUUCAAUGGACUCGUGAGAAAAGUUUCCUCAUCACUUUUUCCUCUCUUGUGACUAUGAAGAAAUAAAAUGAAGGAACAAUUAAUAGAUGCUGACAGGUGUAUUUCACAAGAAACAUCAUUAACAUUCUAUUAAUGCAGGGCCACAAUAGUAAAAUAUCAGCUCACAGACUGACUUGAAAGUUACAAUCAAAGAAGUGAGACUUACACCAAAGAGUCAUUACGGAGAUUAAACAACAAACUGUAAAGAUGAUGCCGAUAAUUCUCCAAAGCGUCAUGUGGAUGUAAAGGAUGUGUCGUCCAUCAAGUGUGUUUCCAUCUGCUCAUAAGAGUAUAAACAACAAAAACAUGAUUAUUGUAAUCACCAAACUGGCCAUACUUUACUCUAUGCAGCAUGUCGUCAUGUGUGUUAUUGUAAUAAACUUAUUUUUAAUAUUUUGAAAGCUGUGCUCCGAAUAACAGAAAGUGUAACUGACUCUAUUUAGAGUACAGUGAUCCCUCGUUUAUCGCGGGAGUUGCGUUCCAAAAAUAACACGCGAAAAGUGAAAUCCGUGAAGUAGCAACUUUAUUUUUUUUACAAUGCAAUACUGAACUAUAGAAUGAAACCAAAAAUCAAAACCUGUUUUAAAGCCCAAAAUUUGUUUAAAACAAUAAUUUUAAUCUAGUAAUACAAGGUUGGAAACAUUGUCACUGGCGUAUUUCCCAGUCCCAGCUGUGCCUCUUCGUCCUGACUCCGCUCCGCUGGAGCGUCUGUUUCUACUGAAGGCGCAGGAGUCUUUCUCCCAGAGAAGAACAUUGUUAUGGGUAGUUGUUGGCGCUCUUUCUUUUUCUGAGCAACAAGAUUUUUAUAAACGGAUAUGCCACCUUCGAUUAUAUUUGAGAACUGCAAUGAACGACUCGCAAAAAAAAAUCCGUGAAGCAGCGAAGCCGUGAAAGAUGAAACGCGAUAUAGCGAGGGAUCACUGUAGUACCAACUGUUACAUUUAUUAACUGUCUGGACCAACGUGACAUGCCGACAGUUGUCUGAGGCCUGGACACAGACUGAAGCUCAACGUUGCGCACUGAUAAUUCUGUGCCAAGACGAUAGAAAGGUGGGUGCUGAGCUGCUGCAGCGCCCCCUGCUGGCAGAGGGUGAUUCUAUGCAUUCCACUGCCUGUACCAAACUGUAACUCUGUAGUAGCUCGUUUAUUAUUGGAAACAUGUGAAGCACGUUAAAUGUUGUUAAUUAAAUGGGCCAAAAAAAAAACUUGUGGAGAGACAAAAAAAUAAGUCUCAAAUAAGUUUCAAAAGCAUCGAAACAGCCGUUUCUGACAGAGUUAAUGACCAACACUGCUGUAAUCUCAGCCAGAAAAGAUCCAAAUAAGUUUCAACAGCUUCGAAACAGCCAGAAAAGACCAGAGAAUCACCAG
rnacentral:lncRNA from 1 species